rnacentral:lncRNA from 1 species
CUCAAAGCAACACAUUUAUACAGAAGAAGCUGGCACUUACGGUGCAAAACUCACGCCACUACCUAGACCCACUACUCCACUAAACUCUCCAUGCACUAGCACCACACAACCGACUAAUCUCUAUGACCUUAUCUCCUCCUAGAAUCUCUCCAAGAGCUAUGACUUGGCCUCAACAGCAAACUGCAUGCGACUAACAAACUCAUACGCAACUAACUAGCACUGGCUACUUGCACGGCCAUGUUCGGCAGCCUCCGCAACCGCCACGGACUCAAACCCAGCCAGUACCCAUGCUACUGAUAAUAGCUUGCCGGAUCACCCGGCUCAACUUGAUCUUGCAGCCCAUCACGCUCCAGCCACCAUCGGGUCGUGCCGUAUCUCACGGCGUUGCCGUAUCGCACAGCAACAUCGACAUCUUGUCGUCCUUGCCGCAUCGCACGGCAGCCUCACAUCUCAUCUUCUUCGCGCGCCUGCAUGAAACUUCACCGGACUAGCUACUCUCUAACCUAUCCUACAUGCAUGGCAAAAGCAAACUAAAUAUGCAGAUACAUGCAUCAAGAUUAAAGCUAACAAUUCCCCCCUUAAUCUUGAUUCCCCAAUCUCCUAUGCGGAUCACCCGCAACCACUUGCGGACGCCAUCGCAGCGCCGCAGCCACUUGUUGUUGUCGACGCCCUCACGGCGCCAGUUGCCGUGGACCAUCUCGUCGCCGCGGAUGAUGCCCUAGCAACGCCAAUCACCACGCCUUCUUGUCGUGGACGACGCCGUCGCGGCGCCGUGUACCACGACCUCCUGCCACAUGCAACGACCAUCUCUUGAUGUGGACGACGCCUUCGCGGCGCCGAUCGCACCGCCACCAGCCUCCUCCUUGCACCGCCGGCCUCCAUCUCGCAUGGAGUCCGCCGCGCCGCCGCCGUCGCCAGAUCGACUAGGCUCUGAUGCCAAUUGUUGGCGCCGCCUCCUCGCAGCGCCGCUCUUCUUCUUCUACCUCGAGCUGCCUCGCACAACUCUCUCUUCUCUCUUCUAUGGUUUCUCUCAAGAACACCUGAACGCACACUACACACACACAUGCACCAAGGAACAGACCAUCCGCUAGCUUUGCCGAGAGGCUCCGUCCUUGGUGAAUACAGUGGCUACAUGUUUCUGCUCUAGCCCUCACGGCCUCUAUUUUCAUUACUCAAAGCAACACAUUUAUACAGAAGAAGCUGGCACUUACGGUGCAAAACUCACGCCACUACCUAGACCCACUACUCCACUAAACUCUCCAUGCACUAACACCACACAACCGACUAAUCUCUAUGACCUUAUCUCCUCCUAGAAUCUCUCCAAGAGCUAUGACUUGGCCUCAACAGCAAACUGCAUGCGACUAACAAACUCAUAUGCAACUAACUAGCACUGGCUACUUGCACGGCCAUGUUCGGCAGCCUCCGCAACCGCCACGGACUCAAACCCAGCCAGUACCCAUGCUACUGAUAAUAGCUUGCCGGAUCACCCGGCUCAACUUGAUCUUGCAUCCCAUCACGCUCCAGCCACCAUCGCGUCGUGCCGUAUCUCACGGCGUUGCCGUAUCGCACAGCAACAUCGACAUCUUGUCGUCCUCGCCGCAUCGCACGGCAGCCUCACAUCUCAUCUUCUUCGCGCGCCUGCAUGAAACUUCACCGGACUAGCUACUCUCUAACCUAUCCUACAUGCAUGGCAAAAGCAAACUAAAUAUGCAGAUACAUGCAUCAAGAUUAAAG